GUGCUCACUUCGGCAGCACAUAUACCAAAAUUGGAACCAUACAGACAUUAGCAUGGCCCCUGUGCAAGGAUGACGUGCAAAUUUGUGAAGCGUUCCAUAUUAAA